UACAGAGGUCCCAAGCGUUGUUCGGAUUCACUGGGCGUAAAGGGUGCGUAGGUGGCGAGGUAAGUUUGAUGUGAAAUCUCCGGGCUUAACCCGGAAAUGGCAUUGAAUACUCUCUCGCUAGAGGGUUGGAGGGGGGACUGGAAUUCUCGGUGUAGCAGUGAAAUGCGUAGAUAUCAAGUGGAACACCAGUGGCGAAGGCGAGUCUCUGGACAUUUCCUGACGCUGAGGCACGAAAGCCAGGGGAGCAAACGGG
rnacentral:rRNA from 1 species